UUCGAACCCGAUUGGACC
rnacentral:siRNA from 1 species